rnacentral:rRNA from 1 species
CCUACGGGGGGCAGCAGUGAGGAAUAUUGGUCAAUGGGCGCGAGCCUGAACCAGCCAAGUAGCGUGAAGGAUGACGGCCCUACGGGUUGUAAACUUCUUUUGUAAGGGAGUAAAGUGAGGCACGUGUGCCUGUUUGUAUGUACUUUAUGAAUAAGGAUCGGCUAACUCCGUGCCAGCAGCCGCGGUAAUACGGAGGAUCCGAGCGUUAUCCGGAUUUAUUGGGUUUAAAGGGAGCGUAGAUGGGUGGUUAAGUCAGUGGUGAAAGUUUGCGGCUCAACUGCAAAAUUGCAAUUGAUACUGGUAGGCUUGAGUGCAGUUGAGGUAGGCGGAAUUCGUGGUGUAGCGGUGAAAUGCUUAGAGAUCACGCAGAACUCCGAUUGCGAAGGCAGCUUACCAAGCUGCCACUGACAUUGAUGCUCGAAAGUGUGGGUAUCAAACAGGAUUAGAUACCCCAGUAGUC